AGCGAACGCUGGCGGCAGGCCUAACACAUGCAAGUCGAACGAACCUUCCGGGGUUAGUGGCGGACGGGUGAGUAACACGUGGGAACGUGCCUUUAGGCUCGGAAUAACUCAUUGAAACUUGUGCUAAUACCGAAUGUGUCCUUCGGGUGAAAAAUUUAUCGCCUUUAGAGCGGCGCGGGUCGGAUUAGCUAGUUGGUUGAGGUAAUGGCUCACUAAGGCGACAAUCAGUAGCUGGUCUGAGAGGAAGAUCAGCCACAUUGGGACUGAGACGCAGCCGAGAAUCCUACGCAAGGCAGGAAAGCCUAAUCCAGCGAAAUGGGCGAAAUGCUGACGCAGCCAUGCUGGGUGAAUGAUGAAGGUGGUAGAGAUGAAAAAUUCUUUCACCGGGCGCGAUAAUGACGGUACCCAAAGAAGAAGCCCCGGCUAACUUCGUG
rnacentral:rRNA from 1 species